rnacentral:rRNA from 1 species
AUGAACGCUGGCGGCGUGCCUAAUACAUGCAAGUCGAGCGAACAGAUGAGGAGCUUGCUCCUCUGACGUUAGCGGCGGACGGGUGAGUAACACGUGGAUAACCUACCUAUAAGACUGGGAUAACUUCGGGAAACCGGAGCUAAUACCGGAUAAUAUAUUGAACCGCAUGGUUCAAUAGUGAAAGACGGUUUUGCUGUCACUUAUAGAUGGAUCCGCGCCGCAUUAGCUAGUUGGUAAGGUAACGGCUUACCAAGGCAACGAUGCGUAGCCGACCUGAGAGGGUGAUCGACCACCCUGGAACUGAGACACGGUCCAGACUCCUACGGGAGGCAGCAGUAGGGAAUCUUCCGCAAUGGGCGAAAGCCUGACGGAGCAACGCCGCGUGAGUGAUGAAGGUCUUCGGAUCGUAAAACUCUGUUAUUAGGGAAGAACAAAUGUGUAAGUAACUAUGCACGUCUUGACGGUACCUAAUCAGAAAGCCACGGCUAACUACGUG